AGAGUUUGAUCCUGGCUCAGAACGAACGCUGGCGGCGUGGAUAAGACAUGCAAGUCGAACGGGAUAUCUUCUGUAGCAAUACAGGAGGUAUUCAGUGGCGCAAGGGUGCGUAACACGUGGGCAACCUGCCGGGAAGUGGGGGAUAGCUCGCCGAAAGGCGAAUUAAUACCGCAUGUGGUUAGGGAAGACAUCUUCCCGAUGCCAAAGCUGGGGCAACCUAGCGCUUCCUGAUGGGCCCGCGGCCUAUCAGCUUGUUGGUGAGGUAACGGCUCACCAAGGCUAUGACGGGUAGCUGGUCUGAGAGGACGACCAGCCUCACUGGAACUGAGACACGGUCCAGACACCUACGGGUGGCAGCAGUCGAGAAUUUUUCUCAAUGGGGGAAACCCUGAAGGAGCGACGCCGCGUGAAGGAUGAAGGUCUUCGGAUCGUAAACUUCUGUCAUUAGAGAACAAUGCGUACGGGAGUAACUGCCUGUGCGUUGAUAGUACCUGAAGAGGAAGAGACGGCUAACUCUGUGCCAGCAGCCGCGGUAAUACAGAGGUCUCAAGCGUUGUUCGGAUUCAUUGGGCGUAAAGGGUGCGUAGGUGGCGAAGUAAGUCGGGUGUGAAAUCUCGGGGCUUAACCCCGAAACUGCAUUCGAUACUGCUUUGCUCGAGGACUGGAGAGGAGAUUGGAAUUCAUGGUGUAGCAGUGAAAUGCGUAGAUAUCAUGAGGAAGACCAGUGGCGAAGGCGGAUCUCUGGACAGUUCCUGACACUGAGGCACGAAGGCCAGGGGAGCAAACGGGAUUAGAUACCCCAGUAGUCC
rnacentral:rRNA from 1 species